rnacentral:rRNA from 1 species
GACGAACGCUGGCGGCGUGCUUAACACAUGCAAGUCGAACGGAAAGGCCCUGCUUUUGUGGGGUGCUCGAGUGGCGAACGGGUGAGUAACACGUGAGUAACCUGCCCUUGACUUUGGGAUAACUUCAGGAAACUGGGGCUAAUACCGGAUAGGAGCUCCUGCUGCAUGGUGGGGGUUGGAAAGUUUCGGCGGUUGGGGAUGGACUCGCGGCUUAUCAGCUUGUUGGUGGGGUAGUGGCUUACCAAGGCUUUGACGGGUAGCCGGCCUGAGAGGGUGACCGGCCACAUUGGGACUGAGAGACGGCGCAGACUCCUACGGGAGGCAGCAGUGGGGAAUAUUGCACAAUAGGCGGAAGCCUGAUGCAGCAACGCCGCGUGCGGGAUGACGGCCUUCGGGUUGUAAACCGCUUUCGCCGGUGACGAAGCGUGAGUGACGGUAAUGGGUAAAGAAGCACCGGCUAACUACGUG